AGAUACGGCCAUGCCACCCUGAAUGUGCCCGAUCUCGUCUGAUCUCAGAGGCUAAGCAGGGUCAGGCCUGGUUAGUACUUGGAUGGGAGACCACCUAGGAAUACCAGCUGCUGUAGGCG
rnacentral:rRNA from 1 species